GGAAUUUAAAUUGGUCUGUUUGAGGGAUUUGGGAAUCAAAGCUAACAGAGAAUGAGAGAUAGAGAGAGAAUGAGAAAUAGGGAAAGAAUGAGAUCUGGGGAUGAUUUCUUCUUAGAGAUGUUUUCAGAUCUGCGAAUCAGAAAGUUGAGAAAGUAAAUGGGAUUGAUAUUGUUACUGAAAUCGGUUUUGCAGAGGUUACAAGGAGAACGGAUUAUUGUUAAUUGAUGACACACAUCUGGAUUCAGGUGACUGUCAACAUAUUUGCUGAGGCAAGGCUAGGCAGGUGAUAAAAACCCAAAUGAUCCUCUUGCUGCACAAACUUUUCAGGCAAG